rnacentral:rRNA from 1 species
GAGGGGCAUCAUGGUGUAGCAAUACACUGAUGGCGACCGGCAAACGGGUGCGGAACACGUACGCAAUCUACCUCUUUCAGGGGCAUAGCCCGGAGAAAUCCGGAUUAACUCCCCAUAAGAUAAUGGAGUGGCAUCACUCAGUUAUUAAAACUCAGGUGGAAAGAGAUGAGCGUGCGUCCCAUUAGCUAGUUGGUAGGGUAAUGGCCUACCAAGGCAACGAUGGGUAGCUGGUGUGAGAGCACGACCAGCCACACGGGCACUGAGACACGGGCCCGACUCCUACGGGAGGCAGCAGUGAGGAAUAUUGGUCAAUGGACGCAAGUCUGAACCAGCCAUGCCGCGUGAAGGAUGAAGGCGUUCUGCGUUGUAAACUUCUUUUAUCUGGGAAGAAACCUUUCUUUUCUAAGGAAGCCGACGGUACCAGAGGAAUAAGCACCGGCUAACUCCGUG